CAAGAUUCAGCCAUGCAUGUCUAAGUAUAAGCAAUUUAUACAGUGAAACUGCGAAUGGCUCAUUAAAUCAGUUAUCGUUUAUUUGAUAGUUCCUUUACUACAUGGUAUAACUGUGGUAAUUCUAGAGCUAAUACAUGCUUAAAAUCUCGACCCUUUGGAAGAGAUGUAUUUAUUAGAUAAAAAAUCAAUGUCUUCGGACUCUUUGAUGAUUCAUAAUAACUUUUCGAAUCGCAUGGCCUUGUGCUGGCGAUGGUUCAUUCAAAUUUCUGCCCUAUCAACUUUCGAUGGUAGGAUAGUGGCCUACCAUGGUUUCAACGGGUAACGGGGAAUAAGGGUUCGAUUCCGGAGAGGGAGCCUGAGAAACGGCUACCACAUCCAAGGAAGGCAGCAGGCGCGCAAAUUACCCAAUCCUAAUUCAGGGAGGUAGUGACAAUAAAUAACGAUACAGGGCCCAUUCGGGUCUUGUAAUUGGAAUGAGUACAAUGUAAAUACCUUAACGAGGAACAAUUGGAGGGCAAGUCUGGUGCCAGCAGCCGCGGUAAUUCCAGCUCCAAUAGCGUAUAUUAAAGUUGUUGCAGUUAAAAAGCUCGUAGUUGAACUUUGGGCCCGGUUGGCCGGUCCGAUUUUUUCGUGUACUGGAUUUCCAACGGGGCCUUUCCUUCUGGCUAACCUUGAGUCCUUGUGGCUCUUGGCGAACCAGGACUUUUACUUUGAAAAAAUUAGAGUGUUCAAAGCAGGCGUAUUGCUCGAAUAUAUUAGCAUGGAAUAAUAGAAUAGGACGUUUGGUUCUAUUUUGUUGGUUUCUAGGACCAUCGUAAUGAUUAAUAGGGACGGUCGGGGGCAUCAGUAUUCAAUUGUCAGAGGUGAAAUUCUUGGAUUUAUUGAAGACUAACUACUGCGAAAGCAUUUGCCAAGGACGUUUUCAUUAAUCAAGAACGAAAGUUAGGGGAUCGAAGAUGAUCAGAUACCGUCGUAGUCUUAACCAUAAACUAUGCCGACUAGGGAUCGGGUGGUGUUUUUUUAAUGACCCACUCGGCACCUUACGAGAAAUCAAAGUCUUUGGGUUCUGGGGGA
rnacentral:rRNA from 1 species